GACGAACGCUGGCGGCGUGCUUAACACAUGCAAGUCGAACGAUGAACGCUGGAGCUUGCUCCGGCUGGAUUAGUGGCGAACGGGUGAGUAACACGUGAGCAAUCUGCCCUUGACUCUGGGAUAACUCCGAGAAAUCGGUGCUAAUACCGGAUAUGACCCUUGGCGGCAUCGCUGGGGGUGGAAAGUUUUUCGGUCAAGGAUGAGCUCGCGGCCUAUCAGCUUGUUGGUGAGGUAAUGGCUCACCAAGGCGACGACGGGUAGCCGGCCUGAGAGGGUGACCGGCCACACUGGGGCUGGGACACGGCCCAGACUCCUACGGGAGGCAGCGGUGGGGAAUAUUGCACAAUGGGCGCAAGCCUGAUGCAGCAACGCCGCGUGGGGGAUGACGGCCUUCGGGUUGUAAACCUCUUUUAGCAGGGAAGAAGCGAAAGUGACGGUACCUGCAGAAAAAGCACCGGCUAACUACGUGCCAGCCGCCGCCGUAA
rnacentral:rRNA from 1 species